AUUAAGGUGGCAGAGCCUGGAAAUUGCAAAAGGCCUAAGCCCUUUUACUCAGAGGUUCAAAUCCUCUCCUUAACC
rnacentral:tRNA from 1 species